UGGAUCCUGAGUACGACGGAGCACGUGAAAUUCCGUCGGAAUCUGGGAGGACCAUCUCCUAAGGCUAAAUACUCUCUAGUGACCGAUAGUGAACCAGUACCGUGAGGGAAAGGUGAAAAGCACCCCGGAAGGGGAGUGAAAUAGAACCUGAAACCGUGUGCUUACAAGUAGUCAGAGCCCGUUAAUGGGUGAUGGCGUGCCUUUUGUAGAAUGAACCGGCGAGUUACGAUUUGAUGCAAGGUUAAGCAGUAAAUGUGGAGCCGUAGCGAAAGCGAGUCUGAAUAGGGCGUUUAGUAUUUGGUCGUAGACCCGAAACCAGGUGAUCUACCCUUGGUCAGGUUGAAGUUCAGGUAACACUGAAUGGAGGACCGAACCGACUUACGUUGAAAAGUGAGCGGAUGAACUGAGGGUAGCGGAGAAAUUCCAAUCGAACCUGGAGAUAGCUGGUUCUCUCCGAAAUAGCUUUAGGGCUAGCCUCAAGUGAUGAUUAUUGGAGGUAGAGCACUGUUUGGACGAGGGGCCCCUCUCGGGUUACCGAAUUCAGACAAACUCCGAAUGCCAAUUAAUUUAACUUGGGAGUCAGAACAUGGGUGAUAAGGUCCGUGUUCGAAAGGGAAACAGCCCAGACCACCAGCUAAGGUCCCAAAAUAUAUGUUAAGUGGAAAAGGAUGUGGCGUUGCCCAGACAACUAGGAUGUUGGCUUAGAAGCAGCCAUCAUUUAAAGAGUGCGUAAUAGCUCACUAGUCGAGUGACACUGCGCCGAAAAUGUACCGGGGCUAAACAUAUUACCGAAGCUGUGGAUUGUCCUUUGGACAAUGGUAGGAGAGCGUUCUAAGGGCGUUGAAGCAUGAUCGUAAGGACAUGUGGAGCGCUUAGAAGUGAGAAUGCC
rnacentral:rRNA from 1 species